CUUAUUGUGUGGCUCAUCUCUCUCCCCUCCCUCCUCAACCUGUGACCUCUUCACCAGUAAAUGCGCCACCACGGCCAACUCCGACCAACCACGUCGGCGGCCGCCGCAGAUUUUCGGUGCGGUGGGUUGAUGGGUUUCUCUAUUUCUUUCUAAUUUGCAAGAAAUUUUGAAUAUUUUUGUGGGUUCAGUCGCCUUGAGUAUGCGUUUGCAAACACCAGAGAUUCUCACGCAUUCCUUUCCCCCACCUCCAUCUCCCUCAGACCCUCACCCCUUCCUAUUUAUCCCCAAAACUGUAGCCUUUCACCACCGAGAUUCUCGCCGGAAAACGCACCACCAGAGAAACACGCACGCGAACCUAGAUCUGGUGGUGGUGUUAUUAUUGACCUCAUUUUUGAAAAAUCUUUCUGAUUUUGUGCCCAGAUCUGGUGGUGAUUG
rnacentral:lncRNA from 1 species